GAUUAACGCUGGCGGUGUGUCUAAUACAUGCAAGUCGAACGGGAAUCUUCGGAUUCUAGUGGCGGACGAGCGAGUAACACGUUGGAACCUGCCCCGAACUCAGGGAUAAGCACUGGAAACGGUGUCUAAUACCGGAUAGUCCCAAAGGGUAAAGAUUUUCGGUUCGGAGGGGCCUGCGUCCUAUCAGCUUGUUGGUAAGGUAAUGGCUUACCAAGGCUAUGACGGGUAACUGGUCUGAGAGGAUGAUCAGUCGCGAUGGAACUGAGACACGGUCCAUACUCCUACGGGAGGCAGCAGUAGGGAAUAUUCCACAAUGGGCGAAAGCCUGAUGGAGCAACACCGCGUGGUCGAUGAAGCAUUUCGGUGUGUAAAGACCUUUUCUGAGGGAAGAAUUAUGACUGUACCUUAGGAAUAAGCACCGGCUAACUCCGUG
rnacentral:rRNA from 1 species